rnacentral:rRNA from 1 species
CCUACGGGCGGCAGCAGUGGGGGAUAUUGCACAAUGGGGGGAACCCUGAUGCAGCGACGCCGCGUGGGUGAAGAAGUAUUUCGGUGUGUAAAGCCCUAUCGGCAGGGAAGAAUAUAGACGGAACCUGACAAAGAAGCCCCGGCUAACUACGUGCAAGCAGCCGCGGUAUUACGUAGGGGGCAGCCGUUAUCCGGAUUCACGGGAGGUAAGGGGGGCGUGGACGGCCAGGCAAGCCUGGAGUGAAAGCCCGGGGCCCAACCCCGGGACUGCUCUGGGAACUGCGCGGCUGGAGUGCGGGAGGGGCAGGCGGAAUUCCUGGUGUAGCGGUGAAAUGCGUAGAUAUCAGGAGGAACACCGGCGGCGAAGGCGGCCUGCUGGACCGCGACUGACGUUGAGGCCCGAAAGCGUGGGGAGCGAACAGGAUUAGAUACCCUAGUAGUC